GUAUAGUAUUUAAAAUUUUAUUUAAUUGUUGAUGUUUUGUUUAUAUUUAUUAUUAUUGUUUAGUGUGAUAUAGUAAACUUAACUAUACUAUACUGAAGUAUGAUACUUAUACUAUAUCAUACUAUACUGAAUUAUAUAUUUUAAUUGUUAUUAAAUAGCUCAUGGUACACCAAUAGAUUGGUAUAAUUUUUUCCGAGAAGUAUCAGAAGAUAUUGUAAUAAAUAAUUCAGAAAAGAUAGGAGGCUUUGGUAUAACAGUAGAAAUUGAUGAAUCCAAAUCAGUGUAUCGUAUUUGGUUAUUAAAAUAAAAGUAUUUUAAAAUAAAAUACUUAAAAUACGUAUUUUAUUCGGUAUUUGUAUUUGGGCUGUUUCUUAUUUAAAGUAUUUGUAGCCUAUUUGUAUUGGUCGUUUACGCUGAAAGGGAAUAAAAUACAAAUACGAAUACAAAAUACUUUUUUUUCAAAGAUUUAAAGUUUGUAAGUUGGCAACAGUGUAUGAAUCGAAAGUAACUUCAUUUUGACAGCGUUAUUGCACCUGCAAAACGUUUUGCAAUAGCAUUUUCUAGUUUAAAAACUUUCAAUUGCAUUUUUCGUCGUCUUUUUGUCUCGUGUGUGUUUUCAUUAAACCACAAGUUUCGUUAACGUUUAUCUCUAGUUCUCUACAAAUCGGAUUGUUUCUUAUUACUGUGCGUUCUGAAGAACUUGUAUAAUACCCAUGUGACAAGAAUGUCGGCAAGACAGAACCUUGGACAGACAGUAAAAAUAAAGGAGUAAGAGGCCGUGGACGUCCCAGAAAAUCCCAGCCUAUUUUGCAAAAUCUGACUCAAGUACAAAAAGAUCUUCUCAACGAAGAAAAUCAGAUGCUGCUCGAUGAGUCUUCUGGUCAGGCCUCACAAGCCAAUGAGAUUCAUACUUUAGAUGAGCCCCCAGAUCAACUUCUCACUGCAGAUGGUACAGAAUGGCUGGUAGUGGAUUCAAGAAAUGAGGAUGAAGAAAUAAUUCCAUCAAGUCCGAAGGUUCCAGAUCCACCACCCAAAACGCAGCCAAUUCCAGCUUUCAAGCAAUAUACUUUUCUUCAAUAAACGGAACAAGAACUUUAUGUAGUUCAUUUACUAGUUUGAAUGGAAAAAAUGUGGAGCAAUAGAAGUCAAUAAAGAAAAAAGUAUUUUGUA